AAUAUAUAUAUAUAUCACUAAUAUAAUGCCUAAAACAAAGAACUGCUGUUUCCAAACAGAAUGGCUAUACAAUAAAAAGUAUUCUUCUUGGAUAAAAUUUUGUUCUUUAAAUUCAAAGAAAACAAGAUGUAAUUGGUGUCGAACAGAUAUUAAUAUUUCUAACAUUGGAGUAUCUGCGUUAGAUUCACAUGCAACUGGUAAGAAGCAUAAAGAGCAUGCAAGGACACAUAAUGCAGCUGAUAUAUUUUUUACAGAUUUUACUACAGAAAUAUCUGGUGAUAAAGCAGCUUCCAGUAAUUUUCAAAUACUUUCUCCUCUUUCAAACAAAGUUUUAAAUGAAAAAGUUACACAGCCUACUACAGAGGAUCUUUAAUCUCCAGCUUUGGUUACGAAGGCAGAAAUAAUAUGGACCUUAAAUGUUGUAAUGUCACAUUUUUCUUUAAGAUCAUGCUUAAAUUUAAAUAAAAUAUUCAAAUUUAUGUUUUCUGACAGUAAAAUUGCAUCAAAGUUUGCAUUAGGCAAAACAAAAUGUGGUUACCUCAUUAAUUUUGGUUUGGCGCCAUACUAUCGAGACCAACUUAUAUCUGAAGUCAGAGCAUCGCCAAUCUUUGUUUUGUCAUAUGAUGAGAGUAUGAAUGUAACCUUUAAAAAUGAACAAAUGGACUGUGGAGUUAGAUACUAGGAUUCCAAUUCAGGUGUUGUAAAAGUUCGAUAUAUUGAUUCGAAAUUCCUCAGACGCCCUAAUGCACAGAAUUUAUUUGACAAACUUAUUGAAGCAACAGAGAUGUUUGAUCUUGAAAAACUUAUUCAAGUUUCAAUGGAUGGUCCUAAUGUUAAUUGGGAGGUUCUUAAAAUGUUAAAUGAGCAUAGACAUGAAAAAUGAUAUUCUGACAUUGUUAAUAUGGGCAGUUGCAGCUUGCAUAUUGUUCAUGGUGCCCUACAGACAGCAAUAAACUCCCAAAAGUGGGAGUUGUAAAAAAUAUUUCGUGCAAUGUAUAAUCUUUUCAAAGAGUCACCAGCUAAAAUAGAUGAAUAUAUUAGAGUUUGUUAAACAGAUCUGCUUGCUUUACCGUAAGUAUGCAUGUUUAAGAAGAAAAAAGUUUAUUAUAAUUCAUUAUAUCUUUUUUUAUUUAUAUAUAAGUUAAGAGCAUUUCAGCCUUUAAAUUUUUGGAUUUUAUUGAUUUACAGUUUACACGAGGUUCUGGUAGAUCAUCAUCUACACAAGUUUGUACCUUUGUGUAUGCAGUUUUUCAAUGAUCUGGCUAAAAAAUUUAAAGGGUUUCUAGUGCUAUUUCAAACAGACAGACCUAUGGUUGCAUUUUUAUCUAAUAGUUUAGAAAGUAUAUUGUGAAGUUUGAUGAAAAUGAUUCUCAAACCAAACAUUUUAAAAGAAGCUGCAACUGCAUAUAGUUUAACAAAGAUUGAAGUAGGCAAAUCCAAUAACCAACUAGAUGCAAACAAAAUUGAUAUCGGAACAGCACUAAAACAGAUGCUAAGUUCUCUUCAUUGUAAACCAGAAGAGAAAUUAGAAUUUAUAAUAGAAUGUAAGCAGAUUAUUGAAGCGUUAUUGCAAAAAUUACAAGAAAGAUCCCCCUUGAAAUAUUCUUUAGUGAGGAAUGCUUCAUCUUUAUCUCCAAGUGAAAUGGUGAAAAACAAGGAAAUAUCCAUUCUUAAAUUCAAGGCUCUUGCUGAAAGAUUAAGUGCAUUAAAAUGCAGAUAAUGCAAAACAACAAUAUGAUGAAUUUGUUAGUGCAGAAUGUGUUCAAUUUAACGAAAAAUUUGAUUCCUUCAACGAGUUAACUGAUUCUGUUGAUAAAUUUUUUGCUGUUUAUUUGCAUAAAAUUCCGAAGUAUUCAGCACUGUGGAAAGUCUGUGCUAUCGUUUUUGUGUUAUCUCAUGGCCAAUGUGCAAUAGAACGAGGGUUCAGUGUUAAUAAACAAUUGUUGGUUGAAAAUCUGCAAGGAGAUCUCUCAUUUCUCAAAGAAUAGUUUAUGACCACAUUAAUUCUCAUGACAUUGUCAUACAUGAUUAUGAGCUCCCUAGUGAUCUUUUAAAAAGUUGUAAGUUAGCAUACAAUCGUUACAAUAUAGUAUUGAAAGAAAACAAAGAUCAAUUAAAGGUAGAUGAAUUAAGCAGGAAACGCCAAUUGAUUGAUGGAGAUAUUUUAGUAAUGAAAAAACAAAAAGAAAGUGUUGCAAAGUGCAUUGAAAUUUUUAAAUCUGAUGCUGAUAAGUUGAGCAUCGAAGCAGAAACAAAGAGAGACUUUACUGUUCUUGCAAAAGCAAAUUCUUUUAGAAGCACAAUUUUAGAAAAAGAACAAGCAAUUCAAGACAUUGACCUUUCAUUAAAAAAACUUGAGUAAUCUAAAAAAAAUAUGAAAUAAAAUAGUUUAUAUCAAAACAUACUUAUGUAUUUAAAUAUAUUUAUAUAUAUUUAGUUAUUUUGUUCUAAGAAAGUAUAUUUUGCUUUUACUAGUUAUUUAAUUGUCGAGAAAAUAAAUCCUUGAAUAAUCCAAAAUUAUCCUUGAAAAUCCUGGAAAUAUCCUGGAAUUUUAAGUUUAUUUUUAACUGGCCACCCUGAAGAUGCAUAAAGAUUUUUAUUUUAAUGGCACCACACACUUUUUAAAAAUUUUUUUAUUGGAUGUAAAAAAAAACUAUUAUUCAUCCAAUAAGUCUCAAUACAUUGAUACUAAUGAUAGUCAGCACCAAUGCUAAUGGGUCAAAUCAUUAUAUUUCAACCAAUUUGAAGAAAACAUUGUAGGUCACCACCUCUGAUUUUUACAUUGAUUGUUAUUUAGAUAAGUUAAGUUUAUUUAUUAUUUAGAUAAGUUAUAUAAUUAUUUAGAUAAGUUAAGUUUCAGGCUUCCAAGUACAAGGGUUCAGAAAUUAUAGCCUUAGAAACAUUACACAGUGGCCCCCCUCAAUUUACAAAUGGUCAAAACAGAUUACUUUAGAGCUCACACAUCAAAAAAUAGGUUUUAAGUUUCAGGUCAGAGUUCCACAAAUAUUUUUAUGGAACUUUUAUCAGUGACUCUUCAGGGUACUGUAUCUAGAAGCCUAAAAAUCAAAAGAUAGCCGUUUUUGAAAAAAACGAUUUCAAACUUUUGUAAAUUAUUUUAUAAAAGGGGAGGGGGUGAGAGUUGUAAAGGUUUUCCUUAUAAAAAAUCAAUAUUACCACUUUUUAAUUAUGUUAAGGUUGCAGAUAAUUAAACUUUGAUCAUCUUAAGAUGUUAAUUUUUCUAUAGAAUUGUUGAUGGAAACGUAAUUCAUAUAGUAUAUUAUAUAGUAAUUUAUUUAUUUAAUAUAAUAAUAGAAUGUUUCAAACCCUAAUUAUUGUUUCGUUAUUGUUAAUAUUAAACAUAAACUACUUUAUUAAAAAAAUGCCUAAUAUAUAAUAAUGCCUAAUGCCUAAUAUCUAACAAAACAGUAAACAGCAAAGAAAAACGAGACCAUUCAUUGAAUCAGAAAAUUAUUUGUUGCUGUUGUUUGAAGAAAUGCUUAAAAUGUAUUCCAGUAACGAAGUUAUUAGAGGCUUACAUAAAAAAUGUAUGUAAAACCUGAAUAUUCAAUAUCUCUGUACAGUUACCCAACAGGCAUUUGUCCAACAUGCAAAAAGUAUGUAAACUUACUGAAGGAAAGUAAAGACAUACCAAAUGCAGUUAAAACUCGAUGGCAAUCUUCCCAAUUAUCUAGAUGUGUAAGCACUAGAAAUUGCGAAACAUGCACAGUUUGUUCAAAGGCUAGAUCAAGAUUUCCACAUAUGAAAAAAACAAAGAAAUUAGUAAAUUCUAAUAGGAUGUGUAACGUUUGCUUAUGUGCGAUCAAAAAAGGAAUUCAACAUCAAUGUACUGAAAUGAAUGUGUAUACAAAUCUUUCUGCUAAGUUAUUUAAUGCUUUGGAAAAAGUUCAGAAAAAAGUCACUUCGUAUGUUUUAAGAUCGAUUAUUAAGAAAAAGAAACUUAAGCAUGGAAUCCAGACCCAUCUAAUUACUGGUAAUUUGUUUAUUAGAUUUAUUAGUGUUUUCAAAUUGAUUAAAUCAUCCAAAGUAUUUUGUUAUUCAGGUUGCCAUUACCUAUAACUAUUGGUGUUCCUCAAUUAGUUAUUAGGAAAGUCAAAUUUGAAGACACUGAAACUAUGAUUAAUCGACUUGGACUUUGUCAAUUCAAAUCACACAUCCUUCUGAAAUCCUUAAGGAAAAGUGGAAUUCAAUUUGAGGCAAAUCUUGAAAAAAACUUUACCAAAAAAGUAAACUCCUAUCUGAAUUUUAUGAUGUGAAGAAAAUAUUUGCAAAAGAAAAAAAAAAAAAGUUGUCAGGCGAUGUGUCAAGAGACCUUGUUUAUGUUUUUCAAUUAAUAGAGCUGCUUAACUUUGUAAUGACUUACAGAAAGCAAAACCCUUACCAAACAUUAAUACGAAUUGGAAUUGAUUCAGGAGGUGGAUCACUUAAGGUAAUUUGUAACCUCUUUGAUCCAGAAAAAAACGAUGCGAAGAUCAAAGUUCUCACGGAACAUACUCUGGAAUUAACCACUCCAUAGUUCUUGCAUAUUGUGACAACUUGCAGGAGACACACACAAAUUUAGCCAUUUUAUUAGAUCUUCUAAAGCUAGAAGAUUGUAAAUAUGUUCUUGCAGCUGAUUUGAAAAUAAUUAAUAUUCUUCUAGGAAUUUCAUCUCAUGGUGGUAUGUAUGCUUGUGCUUGGUGUGAAGGAGAAUGUGAACUUUUUGGUGGGUUGAAAAGAACAUUUUUAUCAUUGGAUCUAUGGCAUAGGAGAUACAUGGUUAUCGAAAUUCUGAAAUGAAAGAUUAUAAGAAUAUGGUGAAUGUAUGUCUAAUAAAGGUGAGAAACAAGUCAAAACUAGUUCUUGAAGUCAUUCCUUUGCUAGAGCUUCAUAUGUUAAUGGGAUUUGUAAAUCAUAUAUCAACUUAUAUAAUUGUUUAUUGGCUUGAAUACAAAGGCUGGGUCGACUCACUUGGAUGUAUUAGAAGAGGAUACCAUGGGGGAACACAUGAAGGCAAUCCAUGUAGGAUUAUUCUUAAAAAAAGUGUUCAGCUUUCACUAAGGCUACCAAUUGAACUCUCAUCACUUCUACGUCCAGUGAGAAAAUUUGAGAAAUUAGUUCAAGGAACCUUCGGAAGUUAUUUUAACCCUUGUUAUCUUCAACUAAUAACUGACUUUGGUUGUUCCUACAAAGCCACACAGGAGUAUUGUUCAGAGUUUCUAGGAAAGAAACUUACUGUGACCUGGAAAAUAUAUAUAAUCUCAGCUCACUUGCAACAAUUUAUUGAACUUACUGGUCAUUCUCUUGGACGAUACAAUGAACAAGUAUCUGAAUUGGCUCAUUCAAAAAUGAAGCCAAUAAUUGAACGAUUCAAUGUUUCACAAACAAGCUCAAAGCACUCUCUUAGAAGCAGAAGAAUUGCUGAAUCGUUCAGCAGUACUAAUUUAUAGAUUAAAAUUUUUAGAUAUUUUGAUAUAUGUUUAUAAAUUUAAAACAUUUAAUACAAAUAAUUUUUUAAUCGUUAGC
rnacentral:lncRNA from 1 species